rnacentral:rRNA from 1 species
UCAGGACGAACGCUGGCGGUAUGCUUAACACAUGCAAGUCGAACGAGACGAGAUGGAAGGAUCCUUCGGGUGACGGAAAUCUUAGAAAGUGGCGAACGGGUGAGUAACGCGUGGGUAACCUGCCCUAUGGAAAGGAAUAGCCUCGGGAAACUGGGAGUAAUGCCUUAUAAUACAUUGAAGUCGCAUGGCUUUGAUGUUAAACGCUCCGGUGCCAUAGGAUGGACCCGCGUCCCAUUAGCUAGUUGGUGAGAUAACAGCCCACCAAGGCGACGAUGGGUAACCGGUCUGAGAGGGCGAACGGUCACACUGGAACUGAGACACGGUCCAGACUCCUACGGGAGGCAGCAGUGGGGAAUAUUGCGCAAUUGGGGGGAAACCCUGACGCAGCAAUACCGCGUGAGUGAAGAAGGUUUUCGGAUCGUAAAGCUCUGUUAUUGGGGAAGAAAAAAGACGGUACCCAAGAAGAAAGUCCCGGCUAACUACGUGCCAGCAGCUGC